CAGGGGGGGCAAGCGUUGUUCGGAAUUACUGGGCGUAAAGGGUUUGUAGGUGGCUUACUUAGUCAGACGUGAAAUCCCUCAGCUUAACUGGGGAACUGCGUCUGAUACUGGCGAGCUUGAGUGCAGGAGAGGAACGCGGAAUUCCAGGUGUAGCGGUGAAAUGCGUAGAUAUCUGGAGGAACACCGGUGGCGAAGGCGGCGUUCUGGACUGCAACUGACACUGAAAAACGAAAGCCAGGGGAGCAAACGGGAUUAGAUACCCCGGUAGUCCUGGCCCUAAACGAUGAAUGCUUGGUGUGGCGGGUAUCGAUCCCUGCCGUGCCGUAGUUAACGCGAUAAGCAUUCCGCCUGGGGAGUACGGUCGCAAGGCUG
rnacentral:rRNA from 1 species